rnacentral:rRNA from 1 species
CAUAGCAUAUCAGAAGGCACACCCGGAGAACUGAAACAUCUUAGUACCCGGAGGAAGAGAAAGAAAAUUCGAUUCCCUUAGUAGCGGCGAGCGAAACGGGAAGAGCCCAAACCAACAAGCUUGCUUGUUGGGGUUGUAGGACACUCUAUACGGAGUUACAAAGGACGACAUUAGACGAAUCAUCUGGAAAGAUGAAUCAAAGAAGGUAAUAAUCCUGUAGUCGAAAAUGUUGUCUCUCUUGAGUGGAUCCUGAGUACGACGGAGCACGUGAAAUUCCGUCGGAAUCUGGGAGGACCAUCUCCUAAGGCUAAAUACUCUCUAGUGACCGAUAGUGAACCAGUACCGUGAGGGAAAGGUGAAAAGCACCCCGGAAGGGGAGUGAAAUAGAACCUGAAACCGUGUGCUUACAAGUAGUCAGAGCCCGUUAAUGGGUGAUGGCGUGCCUUUUGUAGAAUGAACCGGCGAGUUACGAUUUGAUGCAAGGUUAAGCAGUAAAUGUGGAGCCGUAGCGAAAGCGAGUCUGAAUAGGGCGUUUAGUAUUUGGUCGUAGACCCGAAACCAGGUGAUCUACCCUUGGUCAGGUUGAAGUUCAGGUAACACUGAAUGGAGGACCGAACCGACUUACGUUGAAAAGUGAGCGGAUGAACUGAGGGUAGCGGAGAAAUUCCAAUCGAACCUGGAGAUAGCUGGUUCUCUCCGAAAUAGCUUUAGGGCUAGCCUCAAGUGAUGAUUAUUGGAGGUAGAGCACUGUUUGGACGAGGGGCCCCUCUCGGGUUACCGAAUUCAGACAAACUCCGAAUGCCAAUUAAUUUAACUUGGGAGUCAGAACAUGGGUGAUAAGGUCCGUGUUCGAAAGGGAAACAGCCCAGACCACCAGCUAAGGUCCCAAAAUAUAUGUUAAGUGGAAAAGGAUGUGGCGUUGCCCAGACAACUAGGAUGUUGGCUUAGAAGCAGCCAUCAUUUAAAGAGUGCGUAAUAGCUCACUAGUCGAGUGACACUGCGCCGAAAAUGUACCGGGGCUAAACAUAUUACCGAAGCUGUGGAUUGUCCUUUGGACAAUGGUAGGAGAGCGUUCUAAGGGCGUUGAAGCAUGAUCGUAAGGACAUGUGGAGCGCUUAGAAGUGAGAAUGCCGGUGUGAGUAGCGAAAGACGGGUGAGAAUCCCGUCCACCGAUUGACUAAGGUUUCCAGAGGAAGGCUCGUCCGCUCUGGGUUAGUCGGGUCCUAAGCUGAGGCCGACAGGCGUAGGCGAUGGAUAACAGGUUGAUAUUCCUGUACCACCUAUAAUCGUUUUAAUCGAUGGGGGGACGCAGUAGGAUAGGCGAAGCGUGCGAUUGGAUUGCACGUCUAAGCAGUAAGGCUGAGUAUUAGGCAAAUCCGGUACUCGUUAAGGCUGAGCUGUGAUGGGGAGAAGACAUUGAGUCUUCGAGUCGUUGAUUUCACACUGCCGAGAAAAGCCUCUAGAUAGAAAAUAGGUGCCCGUACCGCAAACCGACACAGGUAGUCAAGAUGAGAAUUCUAAGGUGAGCGAGCGAACUCUCGUUAAGGAACUCGGCAAAAUGACCCCGUAACUUCGGGAGAAGGGGUGCUCUUUAGGGUUAACGCCCAGAAGAGCCGCAGUGAAUAGGCCCAAGCGACUGUUUAUCAAAAACACAGGUCUCUGCUAAACCGUAAGGUGAUGUAUAGGGGCUGACGCCUGCCCGGUGCUGGAAGGUUAAGAGGAGUGGUUAGCUUCUGCGAAGCUACGAAUCGAAGCCCCAGUAAACGGCGGCCGUAACUAUAACGGUCCUAAGGUAGCGAAAUUCCUUGUCGGGUAAGUUCCGACCCGCACGAAAGGCGUAACGAUUUGGGCACUGUCUCAACGAGAGACUCGGUGAAAUCAUAGUACCUGUGAAGAUGCAGGUUACCCGCGACAGGACGGAAAGACCCCGUGGAGCUUUACUGUAGCCUGAUAUUGAAAUUCGGCACAGCUUGUACAGGAUAGGUAGGAGCCUUUGAAACGUGAGCGCUAGCUUACGUGGAGGCGCUGGUGGGAUACUACCCUAGCUGUGUUGGCUUUCUAACCCGCACCACUUAUCGUGGUGGGAGACAGUGUCAGGCGGGCAGUUUGACUGGGGCGGUCGCCUCCUAAAAGGUAACGGAGGCGCUCAAAGGUUCCCUCAGAAUGGUUGGAAAUCAUUCAUAGAGUGUAAAGGCAUAAGGGAGCUUGACUGCGAGACCUACAAGUCGAGCAGGGUCGAAAGACGGACUUAGUGAUCCGGUGGUUCCGCAUGGAAGGGCCAUCGCUCAACGGAUAAAAGCUACCCCGGGGAUAACAGGCUUAUCUCCCCCAAGAGUUCACAUCGACGGGGAGGUUUGGCACCUCGAUGUCGGCUCAUCGCAUCCUGGGGCUGUAGUCGGUCCCAAGGGUUGGGCUGUUCGCCCAUUAAAGCGGUACGCGAGCUGGGUUCAGAACGUCGUGAGACAGUUCGGUCCCUAUCCGUCGUGGGCGUAGGAAAUUUGAGAGGAGCUGUCCUUAGUACGAGAGGACCGGGAUGGACAUACCUCUGGUGUACCAGUUGUCGUGCCAACGGCAUAGCUGGGUAGCUAUGUGUGGACGGGAUAAGUGCUGAAAGCAUCUAAGCAUGAAGCCCCCCUCAAGAUGAGAUUUCCCAACUUCGGUUAUAAGAUCCCUCAAAGAUGAUGAGGUUAAUAGGUUCGAGGUGGAAGCAUGGUGACAUGUGGAGCUGACGAAUACUAA